UUCAUUUACUUGUCUAGCCUCUUUACAAAAUAAAAUUUCUUAUCUAGCCUCAUUUUGAAAAAUAUUCCCAAUCUAGCAUCAUUUCUAUAGAUUAGAAAAAAAAAAAUGAUAAGAUAAUAAUUUUUAUAUAGAUUAAUAUGUUAAGUGGGUGGAGAUUAUCUUUUUUUCUCUCUCCUUUUAAAUUAAGUGAAUGUAAUGUGAUUUUAUAUAUAAACACUUAAUAAAAAAUUUAUUUAUUAAUAAUAAUAAGUAAUAAUAUUUCUAAAUUAUAAUUUUUUUAUUAGUACUACUAGUACUUAAUUUGAUUAUACAAGUCAAUAUAAUUUAAAAAUGUUCACAUAUAAAAUCACAUUACAUUCACUUAAUUUAAAAGGAGAGAGAAAAAAAAUAAUCUCUACUCACUUAACAUAAUAUCUAUUUAAAAAUUAUUAAUUUAUUAUUUUUUUUUAAUCUAUAAAAGUGAAGCUAGAUUGAGAAUAAUUUUUAAAAGGAGGCUAGAUAGAAAAUAAUUUUUUUUGUAAAGAAGUUAGACAAGUAAAUAGUUCUUAAAUUUGUUUCUUUCUGAUUCGAAUUCAAUAA
rnacentral:lncRNA from 1 species